rnacentral:rRNA from 1 species
CGGGGGGCAGCAGUAGGGAAUAUUGGUCAAUGGAGGCAACUCUGAACCAGCCAUGCCGCGUGCAGGAAGACUGCCCUAUGGGUUGUAAACUGCUUUUGUACGGGAAGAAACCUUACUACGUGUAGUAAGUUGACGGUACCGUGAGAAUAAGGAUCGGCUAACUUCGUGCCAGCAGCCGCGGUAAUACGAAGGAUCCAAGCGUUGUCCGGAUUUACUGGGUUUAAAGGGUGCGUAGGUGGACUUAUAAGUCAGUGGUGAAAGCCUGCAGCUUAACUGUAGAAUUGCCAUUGAAACUGUUAGUCUCGAGUAUGGUUGAGGUUACUGGAAUAUAUCAUGUAGCGGUGAAAUGCUUAGAUAUGAUAUAGAACACCAAUUGCGAAGGCAGGUAACUAAGCCAUAACUGACACUGAGGCACGAAAGCGUGGGGAUCAAACAGGAUUAGAUACCCCGGU